AGGGUGUAAACGCUGCAGACUUGGUGUUGGAGGCCCUUUGGGGGCAUUCAGUGCCGGAGAGAAGUUGUUAAGUCUGCUACUUGGGGAGUACGUCCGCAAGGAUGAACUUAAAGGAAUUGGCGGGGGAGCACCGCAACGGGAGGAGCGUGCGGUUUAAUUGGAUUCAACACCGUAAAACUCACCAGGGAAGACUGUUACAUGAAGGCCGAGAUGAAGACUCUGCUAGAUUUUCAGAGAGGUGGUGCAUGGCGUCAGUGACU
rnacentral:rRNA from 1 species